UACGUAGGAUGCAAGCGUUGUCCGGAAUUAUUGGGCGUAAAGAGCGCGCAGGCGGUUUGACAAGUCAGAUGUGAAAGAGGCCGGCUUAACCGGCAAGGGUCAUUUGAAACUGUCAGACUAGAGUACAGCAGAGGAUAGCGGAAUUCCCGGUGUAGUGGUGAAAUGCGUAGAUAUCGGGAGGAACACCAGUGGCGAAGGCGGGUCUCUGGGCCGAUACUGACGCUGAGGAGCGAAAGCGUGGGGAGCGAACAGG
rnacentral:rRNA from 1 species